UAAUUCCAGUGUAAUUAACAUGCAUUGAUAGUAGUUUCUGGUGUACAGUAUUAUGAUACAACAAAUCUAGACAGUGCCCAGGGCUCAUCAUGAAUUUUUCGAAGGAAGGAGGGAACCUUCUGGAUGGUCCUUGAGGCUGUAGAAUCCUAUCGGUAUUGAGCACCCUGCACCUGAUGUGAGUUCUGGAGCUGCAGCAGCCAUCUUGUGACCAGGAGACCUCAAACAUAAGGAUGAAAACCAAUAAGCUAAGUGUGUCCAAGAAGACAGGUUGGAAUUCCAGGUUCCUGGUGGCAUUAUUGAGGCCAGAAGGAGCGAUCGGCAAGCCCCGGUAUCCUGACUUUCAGCGAUCAUGGACCCUGAGGUCCCCCUCCUGAUGGGGCCACAGUCGGAGCCUGGAGCUUGUCCACUGUGGCUGCCAGCAUGUGGGGGCAGAUGUUUUCGUUAGACUCUGCUGCAUGACAGACCACACCAGAUCUUGGUAGCUUAGACUGACUAUUUUUUUCCCCCAGAUUCUGUAACUGACUGGGUAACACCACUGCUGGCUGUGUCUGUGGUCAGCGGAAGGCCACCUGGGGCCUGGGCCCUGCCAGGAUGGUGGUGACAACACUUCCUCCUCCCUCUACGUGGUCUUUCAGCCCAGAUAUCUUCAAGGCCUGGUGGGCGUGGGGCACAGUCCCAAGAGGGCCAAGACAGAAACCCAAAGGCCUGAGAUCCUAUGCCUGU